GAGUGUAUACAGCUUUUUUCCCCUCACCAAUUAUGUGUUUGAUUGUGUGAUGGAGAUAAAAGUUGUCACCAAAGAUUAGAGAAGGAAGAGUUCCAUGUGGGCUAGAAUAGUCAAGGAGACCUUCAUACAGGAGNNNNNNNNNNNNNNNNNNNNUUACGAUACCCUUCCUUCCGCUCCGUCCUCUCCCUCGUCUCCCUCCCUCCUCUCUCUCUCUCUCUCCUCCUCAGCGUUGGUUUUACAUGGUCCUGUGGCAGACCUUCUUCCUCAAGAAAGUGAAGGGAACGUGGAGGGGCUGGACUGACUCUCUUCGCUACUUCUGGCUUCAAAAACUCAUAGAAGGUCCCUGAUGCGUAGAUGAACAAUGACCUCAGACAAGGUCAACCAGCUACCGCCAAAGAACAGAGUACCGGGCCCUGGGACCCCUGCACGUCAGGGAAGGGCUUGCUACGGGCCAGAAAACCAGCGAACCUUCACCUCACAGCAGCUUCCCUGUCAGCGUGGCCUCCCUUCCGGCUCCACAAUGGCGGGCCCGGAACAGACCUCCUGACUCCUCCCAUCUCCGUAUCUACUUAUCAGUAAGUCGGGCCAGCUCUACCCCUAAAAUCCACCUCUCUCCACAUCCACACGAGCCCGCCACCUCGUCUAGGCCACAGCCUUGCCUGGACUGAGGCAGGGACCUCCUUAGGAGCCUUUCCGGGUUCACUCUUGAGCCGCUACAUCCGUUCCCUGACGCGGCUGCCAAGCCCCCUCUGCAGGUAUUCACAGCACUGUCUCUAAUGGGGGUUACCUUGCGCAGUUAAUUGUUUGCUUGUUUUAGGUCUUACCACGACUUUAAGAUUUGCAAUGAAAAAAUACAGGAAGAAAGAAAAAGAGAAUAGCCAAGGAAGAGAAAGUGAGCCAGGGAGGCUCCAGGAAACAGAAGUAACAAAUGAUUUUUCUGAUUUGGGGAUGCAUGAACAUAUUUUGUCAAAAAGCGGCCGUAUAAGAUGGGGAUUUUCUUUCCUACGAGAUAAAAGCAAUUCACAUACUCACAGACCUGAUUCUGAGAUGCAUCAUCCUUUGAACGUGAAUUCCUGUGGUUUUCGGAGUUCGUCCUGGAGAAGGGCUAGGUUGAUCUGUUUCCUCAGAGCAGACUGCACAGCCUUCCCGAAGAAAAACAUGCAGGGCUUAAAAUAUGAAAAUAUGGAAAAAUUAAGGUUAAAGUCCACUGGACAGCAAGAGUUCUCCUGUUCCCGGGUAUUUUCAAGACUCUCUUAAAUGAAGGAUUUGGAUGUUGGAGUUCCUUCUCUUGCAUCUUCCUUCAUUUGUUAAACAUGUGCCAGACCCACUCCAGGGAACCAGCUCCCUAGAGAAUGGCUGACUCCAGGGCUGAGGCAGGAAAAGUACAGGAUCAGCUCCAAAGUAAGGAACUGCUCAAAACAUGAUGGGGACAAAAGGAAACAAGGACUAGUUUGAAGGAGCUGCCACUGGGCACACAUGAGACAAAUUGAGCAUGAAAAUGGCUCAUGAAGGUAGUGGGUGACAACUCACUGGACAAAGAAACCAACCUGUGAGUACAGAAUGCUGGCAGAAAACAAGCAAAUGAAGGUGUGGGAUCCAUGAGAAAGCCUCUCCUUAUAGAAGGCCAACUGAUAAAGGAGUCAGAAAAUGACUGCUUUGAAACCACCAUAAUAAUCGUUGGCCCGGGCAAAGAUCGUCGCUGAAUAUUAAUAUCAUUCAGUGGAAUUGUGGGGUGAUAUUUACAGUUAGUGCCUGCUCAUAAAUUCCUUCCUAUCCAAGGAUGGAAGGUGCCUUUCCAGAAGAUAACUCUGGAUGAUACCACCUUAACCAAGUGAUACCCAAACUGAGACGUCAGCAAAACAAAAGACCCUGAGCACUUCAGAAACGAACUUUCAGCCUCAUGGAACAAAGAAAGGCUAAGGAUUGCUCCUGAUUAAGGAAGUCUAAGGGGACAUGACACCUAAAUGUGACGCAUCACCCUAGAUCGGAUUUUGGUGUUGAGGGGAAAAAGUUGCUUUUAAGGCAAUUUUGUAACCAUCAACAAAAUUUGAAUAUUCACCACAUAUUAGAUAAUAGCAUUGUGUCAAUGUUAAGUUUUCUAAAUUUGAUAAUUGCACUGUAAAUGUGUAGAAUAUAGAGAUGGAGAGAGUUGGCAUGGCUAAGUAUCAAUGGUGGGAGAAUAGAGGGGAAGAGCAUACAAUCAUUAACUUGUAAUAUUCUUGCAACUUUGCUGUAGGUUCUGAAUGUUUUCAAAAUAAAAAGUUUAAUUAAAAAUCUUAAGAGAAGUUGAAUGAAGAAUAA
rnacentral:lncRNA from 1 species